AUUGAACGCUGGCGGCAUGCCUAACACAUGCAAGUCGAACGGCAGCACAGUGUGUAGCAAUACACAUGGGUGGCGAGUGGCGGACGGGUGAGGAAUACAUAGGAAUCUGCCCUGUAGCGGGGGAUAGUCCGGGGAAACUCGGGGUAAUACCGCAUACGACCUACGGGUGAAAGAGGGGGAUCGUAAGACCUCUCACUAUAGGAUGAGCCUAUGUCGGAUUAGCUAGUUGGUGGGGUAAAGGCCUACCAAGGCGACGAUCCGUAGCUGGUCUGAGAGGACGACCAGCCACACCGGAACUGAGACACGGUCCGGACUCCUACGGGAGGCAGCAGUGGGGAAUAUUGGACAAUGGGGAAACCCUGAUCCAGCAAUGCCGCGUGUGUGAAGAAGGCCUCGGGUUGUAAAGCACUUAGGCCGGGAAGAAAAGCAUCACCUAAUACGUGAAGCCUUGACGGUACCGGCGGAAUAAGCACCGGCUAACUCUGUGCCAGCAGCCGCGGUAAUACAGAGGGUGC
rnacentral:rRNA from 1 species